GGCGGCAGGCCUAACACAUGCAAGUCGAGCGGAAACGAUGGAAGCUUGCUUCCAGGCGUCGAGCGGCGGACGGGUGAGAAAUGCGCAGGAAUUUGCCCAGCAGUGGGGGAUAGCCCGGAGAAAUUCGGAUUAAUACCGCAUAUACCCUACGGGGGAAAGAGGGUCGGACCUUGUGCUAUUGGAUGAGCCCGCGUGAGAUUAGCUAGUUGGUAGGGUAAAGGCCUACCAAGGCGACGAUCUCUAGCUGGUCUGAGAGGAUGAUCAGCCACACUGGAACUGAGACACGGUCCAGACUCCUACGGGAGGCAGCAGUGGGGAAUAUUGCACAAUGGGCGCAAGCCUGAUGCAGCCAUGCCGCGUGUAUGAAGAAGGCCCUAGGGUUGUAAAGUACUUUCAGCGAGGAGGAAAGGUGUGUCGUUAAUAGCUGCAUACUGUGACGUUACUCGCAGAAGAAGGACCGGCUAACUCCGUGCCAGCAGCCGCGGUAAUACGGAGGGUCCGAGCGUUAAUCGGAAUUACUGGGCGUAAAGCGCGCGUAGGUGGUUAAAUCAGUCGGAUGUGAAAGCCCCAGGCUUAACUUGGGAAUUGCAUUCGAUACUGUUUGACUAGAGUACAGUAGAGAGAAGCGGAAUUCCUAGUGUAGCGGUGAAAUGCGUAGAUAUAGGAAGGAACACCAGUGGCGAAGGCGACUUACUGGACCAAUACUGACACUGAGGUGCGAAAGCGUGGGGAGCAAACGGGAUUAGAUACCCCGGUAGUCCACGCCGUAAACGAUGUCUACUAGCCGUUGGGAGACUUGAUCUCUUAGUGGCGCAGCUAACGCAAUAAGUAGACCGCCUGGGGAGUACGGCCGCAAGGUUAAAACUCAAAUGAAUUGACGGGGGCCCGCACAAGCGGUGGAGCAUGUGGUUUAAUUCGAUACAACGCGAAGAACCUUACCUGGUCUUGACAUCCUACGAACUUACUAGAGAUAGUUUGGUGCCUUCGGGAACGUAGUGACAGGUGCUGCAUGGCUGUCGUCAGCUCGUGUUGUGAAAUGUUGGGUUGCGCCCCGUAACGAGCGCAACCCUUAUCCUUAUUUGCCAGCACGUAGUGGUGGAACUCUAGGGAGAUUGCCGGUGACAAACCGGAGGAAGGUGGGGACGACGUCAAGGCAUCAGGGCCCUUAUGGGUAGGGCUACACACGUGCUACAAUGGCCAGUACAGAGGGCUGCAAACUCGCGAGGAGGAGCCAAUCUCACAAAACUGGUCGUAGUCCGGAUUGGAGUCUGCAACUCGACUCCAUGAAGUCGGAAUCGCUAGUAAUCGCAGAUCAGAAUGCUGCGGUGAAUACGUUCCCGGGCCUUGUACACACCGCCCGUCACACCAUGGGAGUUGAUUGCACCAGAAGUAGCUAGCUUAACCUUCUGGGAGGGCGGUUACCACUGUGUGUGAUU
rnacentral:rRNA from 1 species